UGUUGUGUGGCACAGUGGUUUGAGUGUUGGACUAUGACUCUAGGGACCAGGGUUUGAGUCCCCCUUUGGCCA